rnacentral:rRNA from 1 species
UGCCAGCCGCCGCGGUAAUACGGAGGGUGCAAGCGUUGUUCGGAAUUAUUGGGCGUAAAGCGCGUGUAGGCGGUUCGUUAAGUCUGAUGUGAAAGCCCGGGGCUCAACCCCGGAAGUGCAUUGGAAACUGGCGAACUUGAGUACAGUUGAAGUAGGCGGAAUGUGUAAUGUAGCGGUGAAAUGCUUAGAUAUUACACAGAACACCGAUUGCGAAGGCAGCUUACUAAGCUGUUACUGACGCUGAUGCACGAAAGCGUGGGGAGCGAACAGGAUUAGAUA